rnacentral:lncRNA from 1 species
CAGGGGAACCAACCAUGUGAUUAGAGGGUUAGAACUUUCAGUGCCACCACCACCACACAAUCUCCAGGGAGGGUAAAGGAGCUUUAGGUUGAGCUGAUCACCCAUGUCCCAUGAUGUAAUCAAUCAGGACAUAAUGAAGCCUCCAUGAAAAAUCAAAAGGACUGGUUCAGAAAGUUUCUGGAUUGCUGAACACAUGUAAGAUCGUGGAGGUUGGUGUGCCCAGAGAGGGCAAGUAACAUACCAGAUGUUACAGCCUGGUCUCAGCUGUGUUCUGCAGGAGUAUUAAGAGAAGACUCUCCUCUGGGGCAGAAAAUUAAAAGAAAGCAGCACCUCUGAGGUAAAAAGAACCCAGAAUUGGGGUGAAUUCAUCAGUUCUCUGUUUCAAUCAAAAAGAGGAACACAAUAUGCGCUUCUCCAAAAUGUAUAAAAGCAAAAAUAUAUGUAAAUUCACGAAUUCAUUAAACUGCAAAAUCACUUGCUA